AGUGAACGCUGGCGGUAGGCCUAACACAUGCAAGUCGAACGGCAGCACAGUAAGAGCUUGCUCUUACGGGUGGCGAGUGGCGGACGGGUGAGGAAUACAUCGGAAUCUACUUUUUCGUGGGGGAUAACGUAGGGAAACUUACGCUAAUACCGCAUACGACCUACGGGUGAAAGCAGGGGAUCUUCGGACCUUGCGCGAUUGAAUGAGCCGAUGUCGGAUUAGCUAGUUGGCGGGGUAAAGGCCCACCAAGGCGACGAUCCGUAGCUGGUCUGAGAGGUUGAUCAGCCACACUGGAACUGAGACACGGUCCAGACUCCUACGGGAGGCAGCAGUGGGGAAUAUUGGACAAUGGGCGCAAGCCUGAUCCAGCCAUACCGCGUGGGUGAAGAAGGCCUUCGGGUUGUAAAGCCCUUUUGUUGGGAAAGAAAAGCAGCAGGUUAAUACCCCGCUGUUCUGACGGUACCCAAAGAAUAAGCACCGGCUAACUUCGUG
rnacentral:rRNA from 1 species